rnacentral:misc_RNA from 1 species
GUGUAUGAUGCGCAGGGCCUGCGUCAGCGCUCUUGCGCCUCUCGCGAGUCGGUCUUCUCCCACGCCUGCCAGGAGCGGCGAGCGCGCCACAGUGACAGCGGCGCGGCGCAUCUCCUGCCGUGGAUACGUAACACAUAACCCUAGCCAUGAUCAGUGUCGUGGGCGGCGCGGAGAGCGUCCACAAGAGCAGCAGCACAGUUACUCGGCGUCAGCGCUGGGUAGUGCAUCCCAAGUCGUCACUGGCGCGGCUUCGAGUGCAGUGUCGUCAUCCCCGCACGCCCGUGACGCCUUUCAUGUUUUCCUUCGUGCCCGCAAUGCACCCUUCGUCUGCAGCGGCGCCACUGCAGCGUCGCAGCCGGCCAGCGACCCUCUUCUCUCCACCGCCCCUCUAUAUCCUCAUCCGUCUUCUCACCUUCACCCGAGCGCGCAUGGUCUCGGUAGCGCCGCGCUAACUGGCGCUCCGGUCGAGGAAACAAGCCGUGCGAGGGGAGGCGCAGCGCGUAACACAUCCAGCGACGGCACGACAAGGCGAUCAUCUUCGUCGUCGCCUCCGCCGUCGUCAUCCUCGCGACUGUCCGCCGGCGCCACUCCUGGGAGGGCUCUCGAGGAACCGAGGAAACAACAGCAGACGCCGCUCGAGGCGGAGGCGAGCCGACGCGGUGCCAGUGCUCCGCCGGUGCUGGGCGAAUGGUCGUUGGACCCUCCGGAGGCAUCGACGAGGAGGGCUGACGCGCAGGGCAGACCGCGGAACCGCGAGCAUCGACCAGAGCGUGGCCGCAAUGAUGCUGGCACGGAUGGAGAUGCGAAUGGCAGCAGCGCCCAACGAGCCAGGCUGCAGGACCUCCGAGAGCGGCGACGUCGCAGUCUUCAGCAUCGAGGCCAUGAUGCCCUCGAGCUUGCGCGGCGCCACACUUCCGCGUACAUCGCGAAUCGGCGCCUGCGCGAGUACGAGCAGACGUGUCUGCAUGCGUACCGCAUCUUGAAGCAGGUGGAAUGGAGCCUUGCCGCCUGGGCCCGGGCUCGGCGACAAGGACAACGGCAAGAUGCCUCCGAACGCAACCGCAGCAGCCGAAGCGGCAGCGCUGGCGAUGCUGCGUCGAGCGCGCAGGCGGCGCAGUCGAUGCAGGGACAAGGUGCUACCGGUGCAUUCCGCAUCCCGUCUACCAGCGAGGAUAUCGACGCCGUCGACGCACGCUUUUUCGAGUACGCUGGGCAGAUCCAGCGUACACUGCAUCAGCUCACCCCACGCCAUUUCGAUGCCGUUCGCGACUACCGCCUGCGAGUACCGCCACGCAGCAGCUCCCCAUCUACCGCGGCCACCCCGCCGUCACAGCCUCGAUGCGCAGAGGACUCGACUUCUUCCGCGUCCGAAUUGUUGGGAGCUGCUCCGCGGCAACUGCUGCUGCUGCGCUUACUGUGGCGCCUUCUACACAUCCAGCAGCUCUUCUUUAGCAUUGGCCGCCGCUCCUCGCUGCCGCGCACCGCCGUCGACGUGUACGUGCAGUCCUCCAACUGCCAGUACGGCAUCCGCGAGGUGCUGCGCGUGCUCGGGAGCGAGAUAGCGCGGUGGACCCUGUCGGUGGGUACCCACCCCCACCUCCACAACUCUUGUGGUCAGCAGUGGAGAGAGCACGACGGCCGUGCAGCGUCGCCAUCUUCUUCCUUUGCCCCGCUCUUCUCUAACAAGGAACUCUUCCAACUCUUCUACGCUGUCCUCUGCAUCCCUAGCGAGGAGGCCCCUGGCGUUCCGCUGUACGCCCCAUCUAUGCACAGCUCCACGCCUCGACGCGGCGGUGUGCCGGAUCGGCACGCAGCAGCCUCCGCCUCCUCUGGCUUCCCGGAUGCUGCCCUCGAUCAGUUCCGGCGGGACUGCAUCGCAACAGGCGCCGACGACUUCCGCAUGCCGCUGGACGAGUGGUGUGUACGUUGGUGGUCACACCAGUACUCGACUGCUGACCGGACGGGUGCGGCGUGGGCGCCACCGCUGUCGAUGGGAGAGGCCAUGGAUGUACUCCAGGCGUGCAUGUACGCGACGGCGAGCGUGCAGGUGCUGGCGACGGCAGCACCGCGUCACACCGCACAGCAGCGGCACCAUCCACAGCAGAGACUGGUGACUCCGUUCGUGUAUUUCGAGACGCCACCGCAAGGCGCCACCGACAGUGCCCGCCUGCGUCGCACGAGCUCGGCGUCUGCAACCGCAUCGGGGGGCAGCGGCGUCGUCGAGGAGACGGAGCCGUCGCCGCUGCGCGUGCUAGACCGCCGGUAUCGCCCGCAGCUGCCCGGCGCCUUGGGCGGCAAUCGUAUGGCGCUGCGUAUUCCAUAUCACCUCGGCCAGCGGUAUGUGGAGGUGUUCCUGACGUACCUGCUGUCGACUGUGUCUGCUGGACCAGAGCCCGGAGAGGCGAAGGAGGCGGCGACAACAGCGACAGAGACGGUGGCGGCAGGUAUUAUGCAUCUUCUCCGUUUCCGCGACCGCGAUGCCGUGCGCGACGUUGCGCUGCUGUGCACGGCCGUCCUCUUCUUCGAGGUCUUCUCGCCCACGACGGCUGCCUUCAUGGCGUGCGCGGCGCCGCUGUUCAGAGAGCAAGUGGAGCUCCUCAGCGGGCACGAAAUCAGCUGUGUGCUGCUCGCCUAUGCAUCUCUGCAGCGCUGGGAGAGGACAUGCGUCGCUCGUGGCAGUGGCGCCUCUUCCCCGGCUGGCGGCUCCAGCGCGAAUGCCGAGAUGAAGGCGGCGAGUCGUCGCGGCGACCCGCUUGACGACCCCGCCGUGGCUGUGCGAAGUGCGUCCACCGCUGCUGCUGCCGGCCGCCGCGCAUGCGGGGACGCUUGGCAGAAGGAGGCGCCCCGGGCCGCCGCGGCACCAGAGCGCUCGCCACCACUGGAUGCGGACCAUCAGAGCACCGAUGAUUCCCACAGCGGCGGCCGCCAUAGUGAUGCCACACAAUCGUCGUCGUCGCGUGCACAGAUGCCAACGGGCUCGCAGUCCCCAUCUGAUGAGCCGUGGCAUCUCUUCUACGUGACUCUCGCCUCCCGCGCCGGCCAGCUCAGCGACACACUCAGCGAGGAUGACGUGACACGUGUGUUGCGGGCGAUGGAGCUGACCGGGAUGGAGCAUGACGACCUGCGCCACGCACUGGAGUCGUCCCUGCGGAUGCGUAACAUGGGGCGACGUAUCCUUUAUGAAACUUAAUGGGAACGGUGCACCCUGUGUGGCAUUGGCGUGUGUGUGCUUCGGAGGAGGAGAGAGAAGGCAGCAACGGCAGCGCUGGCAGAGCCGGGGAGAGAGGGGUCACCGGCGCCUUCCCUCUUCGAAGCUGCUGCCGCUGUUGUAUGUAUGCUCACAGAAGACCGUGAGGCCGUGCCAUCAAGAGCGAGAUGGGGUGUUUGCUGGUGAGCUGCGCUGCUGAGAGAGAGAGAGGGAAGGGGGUGGGCGGACGCACGGUGCCAGCAGCCACGGCCACCCGCAGACGCCUGCUUCCUCAUCGCUCACACCGUGAUCGCCCCAAAGAGAGGCGCAACCACAUACAUAUAUGCGCAUGCGUGUAUAUGUGGGUGCAUCUCUCACCUCUGGGCUCGACCGCUCCCCCCUCCUUCACCCCUCCCAUCCCCUCGCCCUUACCGCCUCUUGCGCAGAGGAAGGAUACGCCGAAAUGCGUAACAAG